rnacentral:lncRNA from 10 species
UGUGUUGAGAGUCUCUGAGAGGCAAAGAGAACGAUCAGCAUUUCCCAAACUUAUUUCUCCACAGGAUCUUUUUUUACAUGGAGCGUCUCGUAGGACUGGCUUCUGAGGAACACAGGUGCAGCUGCAACCGACUUGGUUUUUGGGCCUGAGCCAGGGGCCAAAGACUGAAGUGGGAGGAGGAGGAGCAAAGACACAUAACGUUUUUCUCUAUCACCAAAAGAAAACCUUUAAGGGAGCAGAGAAA